UGCAAUAAACAGUCUGUGAUAUAUUCCUACCAUUUAUGUGGUACCUUCGGAGUAUUUGUAGUGUAAUAUAAUACUUGAAGGUACCUAUUUUCUGACAAGUGUCAAAACAGAAAACUAUGGACAACACAUGAAACGAAUUUCGGACCAAAUUAAGCAUAAAGGUAAGUAUAUGUAGACUUUUUGACGCUAUUGUAAGACUUUGAAUGCGCCUAAUCUUAUGCCAGGUUUCAACGCCUUUACCUUUUUAUAGCUUCUCCUUUCCUAGCGUAGACACCAUGUGCUCUCUUAACUUGUGAUUUUCAACACCUAACCUCACCUCUCGGUCGGCAGCAUAUAACGAGGGCAACACGUGGGUCCCAGUCUAUCCCUCAGAGGGCGCAUGCAUAUAUUGAAAGAGCCUAUUUAAUUAAACAAUGUAUUACCGUCUGUCUCAUCUCCCAAUUAUUCAAACAAAAACUAAAUUCUCAAAAAAAAUAAGAAAACCAUAUGCCUUUAUCUAUAAACGAAUGUAGCCUCAAUGCAUUUAAAUUGUCUGACUAUCCAUGUAGACGUUUCAAUCAUAUUUUCAUUUAAAAAUCUUUACACUUGUUAUUUUUUUGUAGACAGCAUAUAUGUUUUCUAAUUUAAUAUGAUUUAUAUCUUAUAAAAUUUACAAAGAAAAAUCAAAAAGUAUGGUGAAGUAACAAUUACUCGAAUUUCUUGCCAAUCACGUUGAACAAUUCAAUCAAUUAAUUUUAUUCUUUUGAUUUUUCUUUUUUUCUAACUUUAUUCCUGCUCACUCGACUCUUCUCUUUCUUACCUAUCUCUUUAUUCACACAAAACACAAAAAAAAAUUACAAAGCUUAGAAAAUGUUAUAAUUUCUUUCUUUUUAUUUAACACUUUGUGCUGUGGCUGAGGUUGACUUAAAAAUCACUUGUCAGAGAUGUUGUCAGCUUGUGAGUUCCGCUGGGAAAGAACAUUAACCACGCGUUCUUGCCCACGCCUCGAUUCUCUCAACUGGCAGUGAACAUCCCUGUUUUCGCCAUGUCAACUAUUUGCCACCCUUUGGCCGUCGAAAGAUCAUCCCUGAAUCACCAUUGUGAAUGGCCCUACUCAUUUGGCGUAUGUCAUCCGUAGCCAAAUCAUCCUCGGCAAAAGUAGCAACCACAACACAAAUCAAAGCAAAUAUCCAAAUAUUGCGUAAAAAAAUAAAAUAAAACCCCAGGAGGUGGCCGUCACAAAGCCAGCUCUUUUCAUGAAGCCCGUUGAUGUGAAAAGAGUUGGGAAGGAUAAGAAAAUAAAGAACUGAAAGCAAUUAGUUUCCAUUCUUCCUAGCGUACGCGUGUGUGUGUGCAUAAAAACGUAAAUAAACGAGAAAAAAAUUCGUCCCAUUUGCUUACAUGCGAAAUAAGUAUGCAGGAAUAAAAAAAAAUGCAAAUGCCAAUAAGAUUCUAUAGCAAUAUAUUGCGUGAGAAGUAUUACGGUCAAUAUUCCCUGUAAAUGUUCGGCUUGGUGCACGAAGAUGUAAGUAUUAGUCAAGUAAAAACAAUCAUAGCAAAAAGUAUGGUGGUUUUUCUCAGAGAGCCGUGGCAAAUUCAACAUCGACAACUGGAGGACUAUUUUAUGGCCAAAAAAAUCCAAUUGUAAAAUCAACCAGACAAUGUAUGUCCAUUGCCUUAUGAUGACGGUUAACAAAAAAAAAGACAGGCCUAAAAUAUUUGCCAACAAUAACUACCCUUGCUGCAUUGUAUGUAAACAAACAACCAAAUUGAGUGCCAACCAGGCAAAAAAAUGAGACGCAAAUAUUCUCAUAGAUAUUCCUGUGGCAAAGCAAAAUGUGACCGGGUAUGCUAAUGACGCACAAAAAUAAAAGGAUCAGGUAGCUGCAUGUAGCCUUGCGUCCCAACUACAAUCGCCGCCAGAUGAGUGUAAGCGGACGGACAAUUUCAAAUGGAAAAAUGCAAUUAAGCGGUAUGAAUGUACAUUGAAGAGUACAUUAGUGCCUGGCCAAAGAAUUUCUUAAGAUAAGUCUGAAUUGUUAAAUUUUAUGUUAAUGCCUUUCUCUAAUAAUGUUCUUUACUUUCCAGGAAAUUAUUCUGUUGUCAUCAUACUAAAGUCUUUUUCCUUUCGUUUUCCAGGUCUAUGGAUGCAUCUACUACAAUCAAUAUGAGUGGAAGUCGAUGAUAAAAGCACAGGAUAUCCAGCUAUAUAUGAAUGACAACAUAAUAAACCAACUUUACAUGGUAGAAUACUUGGCUGUAAUCUGUAGCAGUUCAUGGUAAAGAUGGGUGUGCCGAAAUUUGAAGCAGUUGAAUUUGAUAAUGUUACAGAAUUUAUGUUUUUCUACAUUUAAUUAGAAAAUUAAUUCAUGAACAUAAAAUUGUAAUUUUUUUUUUUUGAAUUUAAUAAUAAAACAUAUUGAAAUUCCAA